rnacentral:rRNA from 1 species
GCGUGCUUACACAUGCAAGUCGCGUGCGCGGUUCCGUAGCAAUACGGGAUGGGCGCACGGCGCACGGGUGCGUAACACGUGGGCAAUCUGCCCUCCGAUGGGGAAUAACCCCGCGAAAGCGGGGCUAAUACCGCAUAACAUUCCUUGGACUACGGUUUGAGGACUCAAAGCAGCAAUGCGUCGGAGGAGGAGCCCGCGCCCGAUUAGCUAGUUGGUGAGGUAACGGCUCACCAAGGCAAUGAUCGGUAGCUGGUCUGAGAGGAUGGCCAGCCACACUGGAACUGAGACACGGUCCAGACUCCUACGGGAGGCAGCAGUGGGGAAUCUUGCGCAAUGGGCGAAAGCCUGACGCAGCGACGCCGCGUGGGGGACGAAGCUUCUCGGAGUGUAAACCCCUUUCGACUGGGACGAAUGCCCGCAAGGGAGUGACGGUACCAGUAGAAGAAGCCCCGGCUAACUACGUGCCAGCAGCCGCGGUAAGACGUAUGGGGCCAGCGUUGUUCGGAAUUACUGGGUGUAAAG